UACGAAGGGGGCUAGCGUUGCUCGGAAUCACUGGGCGUAAAGCGCACGUAGGCGGAUUGCUAAGUCAGGGGUGAAUCCUGGAGCUCAACUCCAGAACUGCCUUCGAUACUGGAAAGCUCGAGUCCGGGAGAGGUGAGUGGAACUGCGAGUGUAGAGGUGAAAUUCGUAGAUAUUCGCAAGAACACCAGUGGCGAAGGCGGCUCACUGGCCCGGUACUGACGCUGAGGUGCGAAAGCGUGGGGAGCAAACAGG
rnacentral:rRNA from 1 species